rnacentral:rRNA from 1 species
CCUACGGGUGGCAGCAGUGGGGAAUAUUGCACAAUGGGGGGAACCCUGAUGCAGCAAUGCCGCGUGGGUGAAGAAGCACUCCGGUGCGUAAAGCCCUGUCAGCAGGGAAGAAAAUGACAGUACCUGGACAAGAAGCCCCGGCUAACUACGUGCCAGCAGCCGCGGUAAUACGUAGGGGGCAAGCGUUAUCCGGAUUUACUGGGUGUAAAGGGAGCGUAGACGGCAGCGCAAGUCUGAAGUGAAAUCCCAUGGCUUAACCAUGGAACUGCUUUGGAAACUGUGCAGCUGGAGUGCAGGAGAGGUAAGCGGAAUUCCUAGUGUAGCGGUGAAAUGCGUAGAUAUUAGGAGGAACACCAGUGGCGAAGGCGGCUUACUGGACUGUAACUGACGUUGAGGCUCGAAAGCGUGGGGAGCAAACAGGAUUAGAUACCCGGGUAGUC